rnacentral:sRNA from 1 species
AAGUCGUGCCUCUGUGUCCCUGCCUGUCUGUCCGUCCUCUGCGCCGGUUUCGGGCUCGAGCAGGGACUGGGUCUUCUGAGUAAAACGCCUCCUCCCUGCUCAGUUCUGGCAGCUUUUUAACGCGCUGACGUUGUUCAACCUGGCCCGGGACCCUCAGUGCAAGGAGUGGCAGGGUUGUGCACCAGAAGUUUCACAGUCAGCGGCAUGGCAGCAAGAAGGAUUGAGGCUGGGCCUUCCCCUGCUGGCCCAGAGGGGCUUCUGUCCUGUGUUGUGGGAGGGGAUGGGAGGUGCCCCUCGAGUGUGCGUGUAUCAGGGGGUCUCUUCUAUUCUCCCUUGGGUUUUAUGGGCUCUGUGGGCCCUGAAGGAAGACCUGGGCCCAGUGCCCUCAAUAAAGAGAGGCCC